GACGAACGCUGGCGGCGUGCUUAACACAUGCAAGUGGAGCGACGAACCGGGGCUUGCCCCGGGGCAAAGCCGCGAACGGGUGAGUAACACGUGGGUAACCCACCUCGAUGACCGGGACAACCCGAGGAAACUCGGGCUAAUACCGGAUGUGCUCCUUCACCUCAAGGUGAAGGAGGAAAGAUAGCUUCGGCCUUCGCAUCGAGACGGGCCCGCGGCCCAUUGGCUUGUUGGUGGGGUAACGGCCUACCAAGGCUGCGAUGGGUAGCUGGUCUGAGAGGACGAUCAGCCACACUGGGACUGAGACACGGCCCAGACUCCUACGGGAGGCAGCAGUGGGGAAUCUUGCACAAUGCGCGAAAGCGUGAUGCAGCAACGCCGCGUGGGGGAAGAAGGCCUUCGGGUUGUAAACCCCUUUCAGUUGGGACGAAGCUUCGCCGGUUAAUAGCCGGCCGGAGUGACGGUACCUUCAGAAGAAGCCCCGGCUAACUACGUGCCAGCCGCCGCCGUAAAAC
rnacentral:rRNA from 1 species